rnacentral:rRNA from 1 species
UACGUAGGGUGCGAGCGUUGUCCGGAAUUAUUGGGCGUAAAGAGCUUGUAGGCGGUUUGUCGCGUCUGCUGUGAAAAUCCGGGGCUCAACUCCGGAUCUGCGGUGGGUACGGGCAGACUAGAGUGAUGUAGGGGAGACUGGAAUUCCUGGUGUAGCGGUGAAAUGCGCAGAUAUCAGGAGGAACACCGAUGGCGAAGGCAGGUCUCUGGGCAUUAACUGACGCUGAGGAGCGAAAGCAUGGGGAGCGAACAGG